rnacentral:misc_RNA from 1 species
GAUGAAGAACGUAGCGAAAUGCGAUAAGUAAUGUGAAUUGCAGAAUUCAGUGAAUCAUCGAAUCUUUGAACGCACAUUGCGCCCAUUAGUAUUCUAGAGGGCAUGCCUGUUCGAGCGUCAUUAAGUCCACUUAAGCCCUGCUUAGUGUUGGGAGACUGCUCCAGCGGUGCUACCCUGUAGCUACCCUGCAGCUCCUCAAAGACAGCGGCGGAGUUGUGGUAUCCUCUGAGCUUAGUAACUUGUUCUAGCUUUCGAGUACACCACUUCCCCUGCCGUAAAACCCUUAAUUUUUAAUGGUUGACCUCGGAUCAGGUAGGAAUACCCGCUGAACUUAAGCAUAUCAAUAAGCGGAGGA